GGUACCUACGGGACGCAGCAGUGGGGAAUAUUGCACAAUGGGGGAAACCCUGAUGCAGCGACGCCGCGUGAGUGAAGAAGGAUUUCGGUAUGUAAAGCUCUAUCAGCAGGGAAGAAAAUGACGGUACCUGAUUAAGAAGCCCCGGCUAACUACGUGCCAGCAGCCGCGGUAAUACGUAGGGGGCAAGCGUUAUCCGGAUUUACUGGGUGUAAAGGGAGCGUAUACGGCAGCACAAGUCUGGAGUGAAAUGCCGGGG
rnacentral:rRNA from 1 species